rnacentral:rRNA from 1 species
UACAGAGGGGGCAAGCGUUAUUCGGAAUUAUUGGGCGUAAAGGGCGCGUAGGCGGCUUUGCAAGUGGCGGGUGAAAGCCCUCGGCUUAACCGAGGAACUGCCUGUCAGACUGUGAGGCUUGAGACCGGGAGAGGUGAGUGGAAUUCCCAGUGUAGCGGUGAAAUGCGUAGAUAUUGGGAGGAACACCAGUGGCGAAGGCGGCUCACUGGACCGGAACUGACGCUGAGGCGCGAAAGCGUGGGGAGCAAACAGG